AUACGUAGGGGGCGAGCGUUGUCCGGAAUGAUUGGGCGUAAAGGGCGCGUAGGCGGCGCGGUAAGUCUGGAGUGAAAGUCCUGCUUUCAAGGUGGGAAUUGCUUUGGAUACUGCCGCGCUUGAGUGCAGGAGAGGUUAUCGGAAUUCCCGGUGUAGCGGUGAAAUGCGUAGAGAUCGGGAGGAACACCAGUGGCGAAGGCGGGUAACUGGACUGCAACUGACGCUGAGGCGCGAAAGUGUGGGGAGCAAACAGGAUUAGAUACCCUGGUAGUCCACACUGUAAACGAUGAAUGCUAGGUGUAAGAGGUAUCGACCCCUUUUGUGCCGGAGUCAACACAAUAAGCAUUCCGCCUGGGGAGUACGGCCGCAAGGUUGAAACUCAAAGGAAUUGACG
rnacentral:rRNA from 1 species